UCCGGUUUGUCACCGGCGGUCUCCUUAGAGUGCCCAACUGAAUGCUGGCAACUAAGGACAAGGGUUGCGCUCGUUGCGGGACUUAACCCAACAUCUCACGACACGAGCUGACGACAGCCAUGCAGCACCUGUCUCCAGGUUCCUUACGGCACCCCCGCAUCUCUGCAGGGUUCCUGGGAUGUCAAGGGUAGGUAAGGUUUUUCGCGUUGCAUCGAAUUAAUCCACAUAAUCCACCGCUUGUGCGGGUCCCCGUCAAUUCCUUUGAGUUUUAACCUUGCGGCCGUACUCCCCAGGCGGGGCACUUAAUGCGUUAGCGCCGGCACGGGAGGAGUCGACACCUCCCACACCUAGUGCCCAUCGUUUACGGCGUGGACUAC
rnacentral:misc_RNA from 1 species